UACGUAGGGUGCAAGCGUUAAUCGGAAUACUGGGCGUAAAGCGUGCGCAGGCGGUUAUGUAAGACAGAUGUGAAAUGCCCGGGCUUAACCUGGGAACUGCAUUUGUGACUGCAUGGCUAGAAUCUGGCAGAGGGGGGUAGAAUUCCACGUGUAGCAGUGAAAUGCGUAGAGAUGUGGAGGAACACCGAUGGCCGAAGGCAGCCCCCUGGGUCAAGAUUGACGCUCAUGCACGAAAGCGUGGGGAGCAAACAGG
rnacentral:rRNA from 1 species